ensembl:misc_RNA Metazoa_SRP Metazoan signal recognition particle RNA
GGGCACGGUGGCACGUGCCUGUAGUCCCAGCUACUCGGGAGGCUGAGGUGGGAGGAUCGCUUGAGCCCAGGAGUUCUGGGCUGUAGUGCGCUAUGCCGAUCGGAUGUCCGCACUAAGUUCGGCAUCAGUAUGGUGAACUCCCAGGAGCAGGGAACCACCAGGUUGCCUAAGGAGGGGUGAACUGGCCCAGGUUGGAAACUAAGCAGGUCAAAAUUCUGGUGCUGAUCAGUAGUGGGAUCGUGCCUGUGAAUAGCCACUGCACUCCAGCCUGGGCAACAUAGCGAGACCCUGUCUCUU